rnacentral:rRNA from 1 species
GAUGAACGCUGGCGGCGUGCUUUAACACAUGCAAGUCGAACGAAGAUGCCAUAGUAGAAGCAAUUAGCUUGCUAAGAGUGGACACAGUGGGAUCUUAGUGGCGGACGGGUGAGUAACGCGUGGGUAACCUGCCGUAUACAGGGGGAUAACACCUGGAAACAGGUGCUAAUACCGCAUAAGCGCACGAUGUCGCAUGGCAACGUGUGAAAGCCGAGACGGUAUACGAUGGACCCGCGUCUGAUUAGCUGGUUGGUGAGGUAGAGGCUCACCAAGGCGACGAUCAGUAGCCGGCCUGAGAGGGUGAACGGCCACAUUGGGACUGAGACACGGCCCAAACUCCUACGGGAGGCAGCAGUGGGAAUAUUGCACAAUGGGGAAACCUGAUGCAGCGACGCCGCGUGAGUGAAGAGUAUUCGGUAUGUAAAGCUCUAUCAGCAGGGAAGAAAGAAGACGGUACCUGACUAAGAAGCCCCGGCUAACUAC